GCACCACCGGCAACCACCGUGCAGACACCACCGUCCGCCGCACUCCUCCGACCAGUGCCGCCGCCCAUCUCUGCUGCCGCGCCGCCCUGCCCGCCGGCCAGCACCUCCCUCUCUCCCAUUUUUGGCGGAGAAUUCUCUCUAGGCGACUUUUGAAAGUGUUAAAGUGGCCUAUUAGUUUGUUUACACAAGUCUCUAAGGAUCAAUAAGCGUUGCCCAUCUACAGGUUUGAAGAUGAUGCAUCAUUGGGAUCGGGAUUAGAGAGCUUGUAGUUCAUUUGAUUUUCUAAGUUGGUUUUGGUUUGUUUAAGUGGACUCUAAAACUUAUUGAAUUAGUAACAUUAACUUUGUUUUUCGUUGAUUGGUUUUUGGGAUUUAUUCUGAAAAUGAUUAUUUAUAAACCUACAGUUAGUUUUAUGUUUUCCGCUGCAAAAUUCUGAAUAAGCCGUUACGUU